GGCCUUUCAGUGGCCCUCGUGGAACGGUAGGAAGCUGAGCUGGACUCUCUGCCACAUCGUUCGGUUCCCACAACAGCCUGAUGAAGCAGCAGCAGAAAAAAUGGAAGCCAUUUUGGUUAACGGGUCACAUCUUAGCAGUUGGCAGCGUAAGAAGCGGAAGGAUCCACUGGUCAGAAAUGGAGAUUGAGGAGAAGCUGAGAGCACGGAGGGCUUCAGGGGAGAGCCUGUCCUUUGGAAAAGCGGGCAAUUUGCACUCGUGGUAGAUGAGUGGGGAGGCCGCUCAGUCUCUCUGCCCCUUUGCACAUGCUGCACCCGUUUAGUUUGACGUCGUGGAGAGCUCCUCCAGGCACGGGCUGUGUGAAAGGGUUUAAAAGUUUGGGGGCAUGGCUGGGGGUCCCCGCAUGAGGGGUGCUGUGUAGGCUCCCAUCUUUUCUGCCGGUCAUGCUGGGAGCCAACAGCACCGGCUCCUGACGUGGGGACUUGCCCUGUGCCAUGACGUGGGGACUCGCCCUGUGCCCUGCGCCCCGGUUCCUGCUGGUUCUGUGCCUUCUGGACUCAUUUCCUUUCCAGGGUCCGCAACCGCUUCCGACACAAUCACUAUUUUGGCUGCGGCCACGGCUUCAUUCGCUUCAGCUGCGAGCUUUUCUCAGCGCAGAGAGCACAGGGAAGCUGGGAGGAGUCCGCCUAGAUGGAAUCUUCCAGAAGCAACAUGACUCUUUUAGGCCUUUGCUGCCAGCUAAGAAGGUGAAGAAAAGUCACCACUGCAAUAAAAAGAGGGCACUUUGUCUUACUUGGCAAUAAACCACCACCAGC
rnacentral:lncRNA from 1 species